GAGCAGGGCAGAAUCAGUAUAUAAGUAGGGGCAACCAGAAAAUUGCUCUCUUCUCUUCUCUUCUCUUCUCUUCUCUUCUCUUCUCUUCUCUUCUCUUCUCUUUUCUCUUCUUCUCUUUUCUCUUUUCUCUUCUCUUCUCUUUUCUCUCUUCUCUUCUCUUCUCUUCUCUUUUCUCUUCUCUUCUCUUCUCUCUUCUCUCUUCUCUUCUCUUCUCUUCUCUUUUCUAUUUUCUCUUCUCUCUUCUCUUUUCUCUCUUCUCUCUUCUCUACGGAGACACCUAGCAGACUCGAUAUAGACCCCAAUGAAGUGAGGGGCCGGGACCUUUUCUCUGAAGUUAAUGCCAAUGGAAGAACACAGUUCUUUCAUAGAGAUGCCAAUAAAGCCACUGUAGGAAGAUAUCCCCAAUAA
ensembl:lincRNA